rnacentral:rRNA from 1 species
AGCGAACGCUGGCGGCAGGCCUAACACAUGCAAGUCGAACGAACUCUUCGGAGUUAGUGGCGGACGGGUGAGUAACACGUGGGAACGUGCCUUUUGGUUCGGAAUAACUCAGGGAAACUUGUGCUAAUACCGAAUGUGCCCUUCGGGGGAAAGAUUUAUCGCCAUUAGAGCGGCCCGCGUCUGAUUAGCUAGUUGGUGAGGUAACGGCUCACCAAGGCGACGAUCAGUAGCUCGUCUGAGAGGAUGACCAGCCACACUGGGACUGAGACACGGCCCAGACUCCUACGGGAGGCAGCAGUGGGGAAUCUUGCGCAAUGGGCGAAAGCCUGACGCAGCCAUGCCGCGUGAAUGAUGAAGGUCUUAGGAUUGUAAAAUUCUUUCACCGGGGACGAUAAUGACGGUACCCGGAGAAGAAGCCCCGGCUAACUUCGUG